GAUUGGAAUCGUGACGAGCAAGAGGAAGAACGAAAGAGUGAUUUUUUGGAGUUGCAUUGGGACGACGAGGAUGGAGUAGUCGGGGACAAGUUAAGAUCAAGAGACGAUGCUUCAUCCAUCGCUGCGAGAAGACGAAGUAGUAGUAGAGUUCUUGCGAAAAUAGGAUCUAGUCGAGUAUAAUUGGAGUGAUCAAAGAGUGACGAAAGAUUCUUUGGUUCUUUGUUUAAUCUUUGCAUCGGACUUUGCCAACACCAAUGAAGAGGAAGUUCUAACUUCCAAACUAGCCUUUAA